AGCCAGAAUCCCAAUCAUGCUCUGUUGGUGCCAUUCCUAGCAGACGUCAGGAAAGCCUACAUCACCACUGCAGUGUACCUCCAGAAGAAGCUCCCCUUGGCCAGUCCGACUCUGACAGCCCUGUCUGCUCUGGACCCUCUUCUGAGAGGCCACUCACAGGCAACCAUCCAGUUGAAGAGGCUGAGUGGUAUGCUGAGGCACCUCUUGCCAGCAGACCAGGACAUCCAGAGAGAACUUGUGCGGUUCAAUGUUGACCUGGCCAGCCCCAGUUUCAAGGAGGGAGAGAGCAUUGUGGAGUGGUGGGGUCAUGUCUUUGACCAGCCAGAUAAGUACCCCUCCCUGAGUGCAAUGGUUAAAUGUUGCCUCUCCAUCUUUCACGGACCAAGAGUUGAGUCGUCUUUUAGUUUGAUGAAUGA